UACGAAGGGGGCUAGCGUUGCUCGGAAUCACUGGGCGUAAAGGGCGCGUAGGCGGCGUCGGUAGUCCGUGGUGAAAGCUCGUGGCUCAACUGCGAGUCGGCCAUGGAUACUCCGAUGCUUGAGCACUGUAGAGGCAGGUGGAAUUCCGGGUGUAGCGGUGGAAUGCGUAGAGAUCCGGAAGAACACCAGUGGCGAAGGCGGCUCACUGGCCCGAUACUGACGCUGAGGCACGAAAGCGUGGGGAGCAAACAGG
rnacentral:rRNA from 1 species